rnacentral:ncRNA from 2 species
UUGGAGAAGCAGGGCACGUGCA